rfam:Flavobacteriaceae bacterium HSG9 contig12, whole genome shotgun sequence.
UCAUUCCUAUAUUUACGGCAAUGAAAAUGUUUACAAAAAAUAAUUGGUGGUGGAGUAUCUUACGAAUAACGUCGUGAGCUAGUCCUACCUAUAAUAAUAUUAGAAAAAGGCUUGUC